rnacentral:rRNA from 1 species
UACGUAGGGUGCAAGCGUUAAUCGGAAUUACUGGGCGUAAAGCGUGCGCAGGCGGUUAUGUAAGACAGAUGUGAAAUCCCCGGGCUCAACCUGGGGAACUGCAUUUGUGACUGCAUAGCUAGAGUACGGUAGAGGGGGAGUGGAAUUCCGCGUGUAGCAGUGAAAUGCGUACGAUAUGACGGAGGAACACCGGAGUGGCGAAGGCAAUCCCCUAGGACCUG